rnacentral:rRNA from 1 species
UACAGAGGUCCCGAGCGUUUGUUCGGAUUCAUUGGGCGUAAAGGGUGCGUAGGCGGCGGGCAAGUCUGAUGUGAAAUCCCGGGGCUCAACCCCGGAACUGCAUUGGAUACUGCCUUGCUAGAGUACUGGAGAGGGAACUGGAAUUUACGGUGUAGCAGUGAAAUGCGUAGAGAUCGUAAGGAAGGCCAGUGGCGAAGGCGAGUUCCUGGACAGUUACUGACGCUGAGGCACGAAGGCCAGGGGAGCAAACGGG